rnacentral:pre_miRNA from 9 species
UCUCGAUAGCGUAAAAGUUAACUCAGUUUUGUAUGGAACGUUUGCCUACGUUUGCCGCUAGGGGCGUUGUUCCAACUGCAUACAGAUUUGAGUUAACUUUUACGCUAUCGA